rnacentral:rRNA from 1 species
AUUGAACGCUGGCGGCAGGCCUAACACAUGCAAGUCGAACGAGUGGCGGACGGGUGAGUAAUGUCUGGGAAACUGCCUUAUGGAGGGGGAUAACUACUGGAAACGGUAGCUAAUACCGCAUACCAUCGGAUGUGCCCAGGUGGGAUUAGCUAGUAGGUGGGGUAAAGGCUCACCUAGGCGACGAUCCCUACCUGGUCUGAGAGGAUGAUCAGUCACACUGGAACUGAGACACGGUCCAUACUCCUACGUGAGGCAGCAGUGGGGAAUAUUGGACAAUGGGGGAAAGCCGGACGCAGCCAUGCCGCGUGUGUGAAGAAGGUCUUCGGAUGGUAAAGUACUUUAAGUUGGGAGGCGUUACCAACAGAAUAAGCACCGGCUAACUCCGUGCCAGCCGCCGCGGUAAUUC